AACGAACGCUGGCGGCAGGCCUAACACAUGCAAGUCGAGCGAAGCCUUCGGGCUUAGCGGCGGACGGGUGAGUAACGCGUGGGAACGUGCCCUUUGCUACGGAAUAGCCCCGGGAAACUGGGAGUAAUACCGUAUGUGCCCUUCGGGGGAAAGAUUUAUCGGCAAAGGAUCGGCCCGCGUUGGAUUAGGUAGUUGGUGGGGUAAUGGCCUACCAAGCCGACGAUCCAUAGCUGGUUUGAGAGGAUGAUCAGCCACACUGGGACUGAGACACGGCCCAGACUCCUACGGGAGGCAGCAGUGGGGAAUCUUAGACAAUGGGGGAAACCCUGAUCUAGCCAUGCCGCGUGAUCGAUGAAGGCCUUAGGGUUGUAAAGAUCUUUCAGUGGGGAAGAUAAUGACUGUACCCACAGAAGAAGCCCCGGCUAACUCCGUGUCAGCCGCCGCAGUAACAC
rnacentral:rRNA from 1 species